AAAAAGUCGUGUCGCGCGUCGCACACUGUCAGCAUUUGGCGGGCAAACGCAAAAUUGAGGAUGUUUAAUCAGCGUUAAGUAUGUGAAAUUCGACAAAAACAACAUCGUCCUCAGAUUUUAAACACAACAAACCAAUGGAAGAGAAAGCCAGGAAAUGUAUGACUGACCAUGCAAUCCAGAAGAAGAAGUUUCAUAUUCAGAUCUGUAAGAUGGCCUAGUGAAGUUGCAGGACUUACAGUUGUUGUCGGUGUGAAUGGGGAACAGGGACAGAGCUUUCUUCUGGAGAUCUUCCUCUUCACUGCCCAUCUGUUCUUCCCACUGGC